rnacentral:rRNA from 1 species
AUUGAACGCUGGCGGCAUGCUUUACACAUGCAAGUCGAACGGCAGCGCGGGCUUCGGCCUGGCGGCGAGUGGCGAACGGGUGAGUAAUGCAUCGGAACGUGCCCAGUAGUGGGGGAUAGCCCGGCGAAAGCCGGAUUAAUACCGCAUACGACCUGAGGGUGAAAGCGGGGGACCGAAAGGCCUCGCGCCAUUGGAGCGGCCGAUGUCGGAUUAGCUAGUUGGUGGGGUAAAGGCUUACCAAGGCGACGAUCCGUAGCUGGGCUGAGAGGACGACCAGCCACACUGGGACUGAGACACGGCCCAGACUCCUACGGGAGGCAGCAGGGGGGAAUUUUGGGCAAUGGGGGCAACCCUGAUCCAGCCAUGCCGCGUGAGGGAAGAAGGCCUUCUGGUUGUAAACCGCUUUUGUUCGGGAAGAAAUCCUCUGGGCUAAUACCCCGGGGGGAUGACGGUACCGGAAGAAUAAGCACCGGCUAACUACGUG